UUGAACGCUGGCGGCAGGCCUCACACAUGCCAGUCGAGCGGAUGAAGGGAGCUUGCUCCUGGAUUCAGCGGCGGACGGGUGAGUAAUGCCUAGGAAUCUGCCUGGUAGUGGGGGAUAACGUCCGGAAACGGGCGCUAAUACCGCAUACGUCCUGAGGGAGAAAGUGGGGGAUCUUCGGACCUCACGCUAUCAGAUGAGCCUAGGUCGGAUUAGCUAGUUGGUGGGGUAAAGGCCUACCAAGGCGACGAUCCGUAACUGGUCUGAGAGGAUGAUCAGUCACACUGGAACUGAGACACGGUCCAGACUCCUACGGGAGGAAGCAGUGGGGAAUAUUGGACAAUGGGCGAAAGCCUGAUCCAGCCAUGCCGCGUGUGUGAAGAAGGUCUUCGGAUUGUAAAGCACUUUAAGUUGGGAGGAAGGGCAGUAAGUUAAUACCUUGCUGUUUUGACGUUACCAACAGAAUAAGCACCGGCUAACUUCGUG
rnacentral:rRNA from 1 species